rnacentral:lncRNA from 1 species
UUGAAAAUAGAACUCAUAUUAUGGGAUUUCCAGAGUGUUUAGGGGCACAAUCUCAAAUUCUCAAUGAGUCCAUGCAUAUUUGGAUUUGAUGACUUUGAAGGUAUGCUCAUUUCAAGAACAAGCUUUUCGACUAAGGGGAUACAAACGGUAAUAUACAAAUUAUAGAAAACAAAAGGGAAAAAGAAAGGUGGUAUGAAGAUCUGGUAGCCGCGAGAAACCUGCAGGUUGUUGAGACAAACUUGCUAGUUUGAACAUAACCAAGCUAACCCUUCUGCACCUCUGAAAUACCAAGGUUGGUUUUUGGUAGCAUCAACUGUAAUGUCCUGUUGUAAGAAGUUUCAUUGGACUGUACACCACAAUUUGAUAUGUGGAACAGAAAAAGAAAGAAAUAUGAUGACUUAUAGGUGAUGGAAAAGACUAAAAUAUGUUAGAGAAGAUUUCGUGCUGUUUUAUGGUACAAGCUUUAAUCAUCUUAAUGUUUGAUAACUUUCAAGUGAUUGAUGAUGAAGAAACUAACCAUUUCUCAGGCUCAUGAAAAUAUGGCAUCAACAAAUGCUUCUGCAUUGAAGGGCUGGAGGUCUUCGACACCUUCACCAACACCCACAA